rnacentral:misc_RNA from 1 species
AAAGUCGUAACAAGGUUUCCGUAGGUGAACCUGCGGAAGGAUCAUUAACACUUAACAAGUGGAGCGUGCAUUGGCCUCUUCACGGGGGCCUCUGUGCGCUUUACUUCUUAUAACCCCCACAUUUGUGCGAACUUGUGUUUCCAUACUGUCUUUGGGGGGCGAGGGGCUCCAUAGGUGCUCGCACACUGCGUGUGUGUGUUUGUAUCUCCCUCUCCCUUUUUUCCAACCUCUUUUUUAUUAAACCCCUUGAACUGUCUUUGACUGAACUUGUGUCACACAUUUUCAUAUGUGUAAAACACACACAUCCAACGCUGAACAACUCUUAGCAACGGAUAUCUUGGCUCUC